GAGAGCUACUGACCUAGCAGUAAGCGUGAACAGCUCAUGGCAAGUGGCGAAGCGGAGCUCCGGGAGCUGCAGGCAGACCUCUGCCAUUCUGCCUCUCUCCUCCUACUACUCCUCCUCUCCCGCUCUCUUUUUCCUUCCCCUCUGUAGCUGCUAAGCUUUCCCCAGACCUCUUGGCUUUGUUGUGCUGCACGUCUGAGCAGGAGGAGGGGGCUUGGCUCGGGGAGCGCUUCCCCGCAGCUCACGCCAAGGCGCCCAGCGCGCCGCGGUCGGGAGAAGCGAGCGAGGCGGAUGCAGGCGGAGAAGCGCGGCUGAAGGCUGGCCCCAGCGCCGGAGGGGACAGAGCCGCCCGGCGCUCCGCAGCUCCGGCACCCACCCCGCCAUGGAGUGCUGCCGCUGGACAGCCGCUGGCACCCUGCUUCUAGCUUCCCUCGUCCUGAUUCAUAGGGCUGCAAAAGAAUCAUAAAAGAAGGUGUGACAUAGAACACUGUGGAGAGUCUGAAGAUUGGAAUGUGGUCACCUGUAGUCAUGGAUCUGUCAGCUGGACAACCUUCAAUGUUCAGGAGGUUCAUGAGUCAAUGUAAAGUCUGAGAAGGCCACGUGACCUGACAAAUAAUUCGUUAGAAGAGGAGUAUCAAUCUCUGCAUGACUAAAUUUUCACUGAAGCAAAUAAAAAAUUAAUCCCUUAUAACUGUG